ensembl:lncRNA
GUCUCAGUCUGCUGGAGAACUCUUCCCUUGCAGGCGACUUCUUUGGGAGAUGAAGGGAGAUGCCAGGGAUUUGGAUAACGUUCACUCAUCUCAGUCUUGGGGAAAAAUCUAGAUGGGCUGAUACGUGUUUGAGGACAUUGUGGAUGACCUCCAGGGGGACCGAACUCAUCAGAAAUCAGGUAUUAAAGGGCCGCUUCACCACUCCUGUCCCAUGUGAGAAAUGCAGGCAGAAAAUAAUUCCUGAUAAAUCAAUGUUCGAAAAGAAAAGAAAGAAGAGAAAAGAAGAGAAGAGAAGAGAAGAGAAGAGAAGAGAAGAGAAGAGAAGAGAAGAGAAGAGAAGAGAAGAGAAGAGAAGAAAAGAAAAGAAAAGAAAAGAAAAGAAAAGAAAAGAAAAGAAAAGAAAAGAAAAGAAAAGAAAAGAAAAGAAAAGAAAUAAUAUAUUGCGAAUGAGGACUCUCAGACAAUACUGUCAAGUCAGAUAAUCAGCUGAGAGGUCAGAGUGCCUUGAGCUGAAUGGUGUCAGAGAUGCGGUGGAAGGUGCUUUGGGCUUGAUACAUCAUCUCUCUUCAGCCUCCCCAAGAAUUUUAAACAGGAAGGGCAAAAGAUGUUUCCAGGAUGAAUUCAUUCAUUCAUAUACAAAUACCCUAAGUCACAAAAAAGGUGUCUUAGCAACAACAGCAGUGCAAUAACGUUGAGUACACCAGGUCCUCAGUUGUACGCCACUCCCAACCAAACAACAAAACAAAACAGACAGAAACAACAACAACAACAACAAAAUGAACUUGAAAGAAGAAAUGGUCUGGUUGGGCUCUGGUAAUCCAUAUUUUAAAAAUUACAAGUGUCACAGGUAAUUUGAAGGCAGAUCAGGCAUCUUCUAAAUCAAAAUGUGUGGACCUCACUAGAAAAUACUACCAACAGUUAACAGUUAUAAAGUAAGUUAGUUUUCAUAAGGAUGAAAAAGUGCCUCCAGAGACAACACAUUGCUGAGAAGAAUUAGACGACCAAAGCUGCAGAAGGGACUGCAUCUUUGGGGACACCCCAGAAGUCCAGCACCACAAAAGUCCCUCACAAUACACAUAGAAAUACUGAGGCCAAGAUGGUGCAAGGCAGAGAUGACAUUUCAGUACAAGAAAUCAGCAAGCAGGAGAGAUCUGAGCCAGCAGUGAAGAAUCCACAUCGCCUGGUGGCCAGGAUGUUAACUGGAUACAGAAACUGGAAGCAGAAUUCCUUUCCCCCAGAGCGGACAGCAGCAUGCUGAUUCACCAUUUCACAUAGAGGUUCUGUACAUCCUUCCUUUUUCCUGUUUUGGAGGAUCA